UGCUGCUACCCCAAUUUCUUCUGUCAAUGAAUCAAUCAUUCCCUUUCUAUCAGUUCAUAAUCAAGAUGGCCCUUCACAGACCACAACUUCAGGCACUUUAACUACUGAAGAAAACAAUCCAACUUCAAAGAUUCGUCUUUCACUAAAUCAAAAGUUUAAUCAGGCUGAAGAACCAGAAAAAAAUGCUUCUCAGCUUGAAGGAACUAGCUGCAGCAAGUAGCCAAAACUGAACUAAGUUCUCAUGUUCUAUAGUUUCUUUUGAAACUUAGGAUUGCUACUUUGAAACUAAAUUGCUGCUCUAUGCUUUUUGUUCAGCAAUUUAUGAUUUUAAGAAAUCAUGGUAUUGCUGUUGUGUUUUGUUUAGCAACUUAUGAUUCCCAGAAAUCAGAAAAUGACUGCUACUUAACUA